AGUGAACGCUGGCGGCAGGCCUAACACAUGCAAGUCGAGCGGCAGCGCGGGGGCAACCCUGGCGGCGAGCGGCGGACGGGUGAGGAAUUCGUCGGAAUCUGCCUUUUUGUGGGGGAUAACGUAGGGAAACUUACGCUAAUACCGCAUACGUCCUACGGGAGAAAGUGGGGGACCGCAAGGCCUCACGCAGAAAGAUGAGCCGACGACCGAUUAGCUAGUUGGUGGGGUAAAGGCCCACCAAGGCGACGAUCGGUAGCUGGUCGGAGAGGAUGAUCAGCCGCACUGGAGCUGAGACACGGCCCAGGCUCCUGCGGGAGGCAGCAGUGGGGAAUAGUGGGCAAUGGGCGCAAGCAUGGCCCAGCGAGGCCGCGUGUGUGGAGAAGGCCUUCGGGUUGUAAAGCACUCUUGUCCGGAGAGAACCCCCUUGGGCUAAGACCAACGGGGGAUGACGGUACCGGAUGAAUAAGCACCGGCUAACUUCGUG
rnacentral:rRNA from 1 species